AUUGAACGCUGGCGGCAGGCCUAACACAUGCAAGUCGAACGGUAACAGGAAGAAGCUUGCUUCUUUGCUGACGAGUGGCGGACGGGUGAGUAAUGUCUGGGAAACUGCCUGAUGGAGGGGGAUAACUACUGGAAACGGUAGCUAAUACCGCAUAACGUCGCAAGACCAAAGAGGGGGACCUUCGGGCCUCUUGCCAUCGGAUGUGCCCAGAUGGGCGUAGCUAGUAGGUGGGGUAACGGCUCACCUAGGCGACGAUCCCUAGCUGGUCUGAGAGGAUGACCAGCCACACGGGAACUGAGACACGGUCCAGACUCCUACGGGAGGCAGCAGUGGGGAAUAUUGCACAAUGGGCGCAAGCCUGAUGCAGCCAUGCCGCGUGUAUGAAGAAGGCCUUCGGGUUGUAAAGUACUUUCAGCGGGGAGGAAGGGAGUAAAGUUAAUACCCUUGCUCAUUGACGUUACCCGCAGAAGAAGCACCGGCUAACUCCGUG
rnacentral:rRNA from 1 species